GGAUUGCCCUAGUAACGGCGAGUGAAGCGGCAACAGCUCAAAUUUGAAAUCUAGCCCCUGCGGGGCUCGAGUUGUAAUUUGCAGAGGAUGCUUCGGCGCUGGCCCCGGGCUAAGUCCCCUGGAAUGGGGCGCCCUAGAGGGUGAGAGCCCCGUACUCGCCUGGAAGUCCUUCGCCGGGUGAAGCUCCUUCGACGAGUCGAGUUGUUUGGGAAUGCAGCUCUAAGUGGGAGGUAAAUUUCUUCUAAAGCUAAAUAUAGGCCAGAGACCGAUAGCGCACAAGUAGAGUGAUCGAAAGAUGAAAAGCACUUUGGAAAGAGAGUUAAAAAGCACGUGAAAUUGUUGAAAGGGAAGCUCUUGCUGCCAGACUUGCCGUGGUUGCUCAGCCGUCCCCCGGGGCGGUGUACUCUCCCACCGGCAGGCCAGCGUCGGUUCGGGCGGCCGGAUAAAGGCCCUGGGAAUGUGGCACCCCUCGGGGUGUGUUAUAGCCCGGGGUGCAAUGCGGUCGGCCCGGUCCGAGGGAUGCGUUCGCGAGGACGCUGGCGUAAUGGCCGCAAGCGACCCGUCUUGAAACACGGACCAAGGAGUCUAACAUCUGUGCGAGUGUUUGGGCGUCAAACCCAUACGCGCAAUGAAAGUGAACGGAGGUGGGAACCCCCCUCGAGGGGUGCACCAUCGACCGAUCCUGAUGUCUUCGGAUGGAUUUGAGUAAGAGCAUAGCUGUUGGGACCCGAAAGAUGGUGAACUAUUCCCGGAUAGGGUGAAGCCAGAGGAAACUCUGGUGGAGGCUCGCAGCGGUUCUGACGUGCAAAUCGAUCGUCAAAUCUAGGAAUAGGGGCGAAAGACUAAUCGAACC
rnacentral:rRNA from 2 species